GACGAACCGUGCGAACGUUGUUCGGAAUCACUGGGCUUAAAGGGCGCGUAGGCGGCGCGGUAAGUCGGGUGUGAAAUCUCGGAGCUUAACUCCGAAACUGCAUUCGAUACUGCCGUGCUUGAGGACUGGAGAGGAGACUGGAAUUUACGGUGUAGCGGUGAAAUGCGUAGAUAUCGUAAGGAAGACCAGUGGCGAAGGCGGGUCUCUGGACAGUUCCUGACGCUGAGGCACGAAGGUCAGGGGAGCAAACGGGG
rnacentral:rRNA from 1 species